rnacentral:rRNA from 1 species
GUGGGGAAUAUUGGACAAUGGGCGAAAGCCUGAUCCAGCCAUGCCGCGUGUGUGAAGAAGGUCUUCGGAUUGUAAAGCACUUUAAGUUGGGAGGAAGGGUAGUAACCUAAUACGUUGCUACUUUGACGUUACCGACAGAAUAAGCACCGGCUAACUUCGUGCCAGCAGCCGCGGUAAUACGAAGGGUGCAAGCGUUAAUCGGAAUUACUGGGCGUAAAGCGCGCGUAGGUGGUUCAGUAAGUUGGAAGUGAAAUCCCCGGGCUCAACCUGGGAACUGCUUUCAAGACUGCUGAGCUAGAGUACGGUAGAGGGUGGUGGAAUUUCCUGUGUAGCGGUGAAAUGCGUAGAUAUUAGGAGGAACACCAGUGGCGAAGGCGGCUUUCUGGACUGUAACUGACACUGAGGCACGAAAGCGUGGGGAGCAAACAGGAUUAGAUACCCCAGUAGUCC